rnacentral:rRNA from 1 species
CUUGCUUUUCUGAAUCUAGUGGCGAACGGGUGAGUAACACGUAGGUAACCUGCCCAUGUGCCCGGGAUAACUUCUGGAAACGGAUGCUAAAACCGGAUAGGUAGCAGACAAGCAUUUGACUGCUAUUAAAGUGGCUAAGGCCAUGAACAUGGAUGGACCUGCGGUGCAUUAGCUAGUUGGUGAGGUAACGGCCCACCAAGGCGACGAUGCAUAGCCGGCCUGAGAGGUUGAACGGCCACAUUGGGACUGAGACACGGCCCAGACUCC